GGUGAGUCUGCUCACCCUUCUGGCAGGCGAGUAGCAAAGCCAACUCAGCAUGUAGAUUCCAGGUGGAGAGGGAUCCUAUAGCCAACAGUGGAUGAAUAAAACCAGGGAGAUAAAAGUGUAUGUGUCAAGUCUCCCAGGGGCCUUACUGGAGUUAAAUUAGCUGGGGAAAAAAUAUGUUAGACUUCACAUACAAGCCUCCACUUCUGGAGUCCCUUAUUACUUUUUGUUGGUAUAUGGGAAGGGCUGGUAUGGGUUUGGGAUAGAAGGAGCUGCAUCUGUUUUGUGGGGGACCUUGGCAGCUUCUGUUGUCUAAAGUGGUUGUGCAUAGUUCAGUCUUCUUUCCAACUUCUAAAAAGCAAUAGUUGCAAAACAGAGCCCUGGAACUGUUUUGCAGCAACCAAAUAAUCUCAUGGUGGAGUUACUGCCUUUUCAUCAUCCUGUGCUCUUUCCCCAUAUUUACAGGGUGUGCUUGUAGAUGAGAGACGAGCCGUAGAUGUCUGAGAAAAAAGCCUGCUUUAAUUACAGGCAAGAAUUCUAAUUUGUCGUGGGCAGUAGCAUCAUGAGCACCACUCUUGCAUCUAAAUUAAUACUUGUUUCACAGCUAUGACAAGUGCAAAGGUUGCAAGCAUAGCAGGAGGACCCUUUUUGUUCUCAUCCUCCCAGAUGUGGGUUCAUGUACAUUAGCUACACCGUGUUUGUUACAGAAAGUAAUUCCUUCUCAAAGUGAACCUUCUACUGUAAACCAUACAUAAGGUGCCUGGACCCAACUUUUAGGAGUUUCUGUAAAGUCUAAACAGUAGGUGGCACUGCUGUUUGUCUGGUCUUUACAGUUCAGUAUUGCCAACAAUAUUGAGUGGCAUUUGACUUUUCCAGUUCCCGUUUCUAUAGUACUCUUGAUCUGGGCAGGAGUCAAGCAGAAGUCUGACUCGCAAAUCUUUUCUUAAUAAAAAUAACAAAAGGAUAAGUUCAAUGUUGCCAAGAGUUUAAUUUGUUGAAAAAAAAAAUAAAAAAAUGAAUUCCCCCCCCCAGGAAAUUAUUUAAGAUCUGCAAAUAUAAAGCAGAUCUUUGUUAAUGUUGCCAAUUGUCUCUAAGAAUUUCUUCAUAAUCUUAUGACCUGUUGAAAAAAACAUAGGAGUGUUUAAUAAAAUUAGGAGCAGUCACAACAGGGGUGGUAUUUUUGCUUUUUUGUUCUUUUUCUAUUCUGUUUCUGCUUGAUUUUAUUAUAGCCAAAAGCCUAAGUGACAAUGAAGAUUUUUGUCAGGUUCUUGGUACUUUAAUCUCCCCCAAGUAAAGGGAGUGUGGGGGUGGUGUUUGCAUCACAGAUAUAUGCAUGUUGUUUGAUAUUAAGAGUUAUCUUUCAUAAAUGUCCAUAUAGUUCAUAAAUCGAUUUUUUGUUUAUAAGUUUUCAUAUAGCUGACAGUUUUAUGUUUUCCUUCUCGGUUUUUGACAUCUUGGGCAGGACUCAUCAAAAGAAUGCAAGCAUGGGCUACAGUCUAGACAUGGGUAUUUGAGCUAGUCAUUCUAAACUGCUUCACUGGUCAGUGAAGAGAAAUAGACAUUUUUAGAAAGGAACUCAUUUCAACCCAGAGUAGACUUUUAAAAUAUAUUAGAUGAAUCAUUCUCUAAAACUGCUUAUUUUUCUUUAUGGACAUUGAGGAAGGUCUAAGAAAACUUCCUCAGAGGGGUAUGGUUGAAGUUUGGCAGAAUGAACCUCUGUCCUGGCAGUGGUGUAGGCUCACUUGGCUGCCAAAUGCUGACUCUGACAUUGCUUGAAAUUCUGAAGUAACACACCUCAAGAGCACAUGAUCUCAUGUACUAUCUACAGAUACUGUUAACUGUGUCAUCACUAACAUUUAACUUAAACGUCUCCUUUUCUGACUGAGACAGUAUUAGACUGUGAGAAGAAAGUUAUUUGUUGAUUUGCUAUGACAAGGCAUUCUUUUUCUAAAAAUAGCUAGUUCACAAGGAAUUAUGGAAA